AUUGAACGCUGGCGGCAUGCCUUACACAUGCAAGUCGAACGGGAACAGGUCUUCGGAUGCUGACGAGUGGCGAACGGGUGAGUAAUACAUCGGAACGUGCCUAGUAGUGGGGGAUAACUACUCGAAAGAGUGGCUAAUACCGCAUGAGAUCUACGGAUGAAAGCAGGGGAUCGCAAGACCUUGUGCUACUAGAGCGGCCGAUGGCAGAUUAGGUAGUUGGUGGGAUAAAAGCUUACCAAGCCGACGAUCUGUAGCUGGUCUGAGAGGACGAUCAGACACACUGGGACUGGGACACGGCCCAGACUCCUACGGGAGGCAGCAGUGGGGAAUUUUGGACAAUGGGCGCAAGCCUGAUCCAGCAAUGCCGCGUGCAGGAUGAAGGCCUUCGGGUUGUAAACUGCUUUUGUACGGAACGAAAAGCCCUGGGUUAAUACCCUGGGGUCAUGACGGUACCGUAAGAAUAAGCACCGGCUAACUACGUGCCAGCCGCCGCUGUAACAC
rnacentral:rRNA from 1 species